UGUAGCCUACGGGGGGCAGCAGUGAGGAAUAUUGGUCAAUGGCCGAGAGGCUGAACCAGCCAAGUCGCGUGAGGGAAGACGGCCCUACGGGUUGUAAACCUCUUUUGUCGGGGAGCAAAGCGAGUCACGUGUGACUCAUUGAGAGUACCCGAAGAAAAAGCAUCGGCUAACUCCGUGCCAGCAGCCGCGGUAAUACGGAGGAUCCGAGCGUUAUCCGGAUUUAUUGGGUUUAAAGGGAGCGUAGAUGGGUUGUUAGGUCAGUUGUG
rnacentral:rRNA from 1 species